rnacentral:misc_RNA from 1 species
CUGAUUUAGGGUUUCUACCCCUUUUUUUUAUUUAUUUAUUUUUCUACCUUCUUUACCAUAAUCGAUCCACUCAACCAAAUGAUCUGAUUUUUGCAAUUUCUUCGAUCUCCAUAACCUUUUAGCUUACUUGAUUUCUAGUUAAAAUCUUACAUGGGUUCAACAUCCUCAGGUGACCUGGCAUGCUGCAUUGCUGUGAGCAAGUUUUGGGUGUGUAUAGUUUAGUGCUGUUGGGUUUUGUUUUGUAAAACUCAAUGGUGCCAGAAGGCUAGUGGAACUAUGGGCUCUUUUUGGACUGUUACUCAACUUAAGGGUUCACUGUGGCAACGAUUUUUAUUACUCAUUAUUUGGCUAUCCAUUUUCCGAGAUGUUGUGGCGAUGCAGACUCUGCUUGAACCUAACCACAUUUCUUCCACAUCUGAGCUAGCGACUCCACCUAUUUCUGGGCUUUUUAAUCCCAUAGAAAUAUCACCUGCUGUCUUCCCACAUUACCCCUAUCCUAGUGAAUCUUUGCCACCUAUGUACCCAACUUUUCCCACCACAUAUGAACCAAAUUUAACUGGGAAAUGCCCUGUAAAUUUCUCUGCCAUGUCAAAUCUCAUGGAUAAGACAGCAUCUGAUUGCUCUGUACCUUUAGCAGCUCUUGUGGGAAAUGUAAUAUGUUGUCCACAGCUUGGCAGUUUACUCCACAUCUUCCAGGGUUAUUACAGCAUCAACUCUGAUAAGUUGGUUUUGGAGAAUUCAGUAGCUAAUGAUUGUUUUUCAGAUAUCAUUAGUAUCUUAGCCAGCAGAGGGGCCAAUACCACAAUACCUGCACUUUGUUCUGUAAAAUCAUCAAAUCUUACUGGUGGGUCUUGUCCAGUAAAGGAUGUUAUUAGCUUUGAGAAAAUAGUUAACACAAGCAAGUUGCUGGAAGCCUGUAGUGCUGUUGAUCCUCUUAAAGAAUGUUGUAGACCAAUUUGCCAACCUGCAGUUAUGGAAGCUGUUCUUCACAUUUCUGGAACACAGUUAACAAUCAAUGACAAUAAAGAAUUAGUGAGCAAUUCUAAUCAUAUUGAUGUUCUUAACGAUUGCAAAGGUGUGGUAUAUGCAUAUCUCUCUAAGAAACUCUCAGCAGAUGCUGCAAAUGCUGCAUUCCGAAUAUUAUCAGCCUGCAAAGUUAACAAGGUUUGCCCAUUGAAUUUCACGCAGCCAUCAGAGGUAAUUAAAGCAUGUCGCAAUGUAGCUGCUCCCAGUCCUUCCUGCUGUAGUUCACUGAAUACUUAUAUUGCUGGAAUACAAAAGCAAAUGCUAAUUACAAACAAGCAAGCCAUAAUCUGCGCAACAGUUUUUGGGGCUAUUCUUCGAAAAGGCGGGGUCAUGACAAAUGUAUAUGAGCUUUGUGACAUUGACCUGAAAGAUUUUAGCAUCCAAGCAUAUGGACAACAAGGGUGUCUACUCCGAAGCUUGCCUGCAGAUGUUGUAUUUGACAAUUCAACGGGGUUCAGCUUUACAUGUGACCUGAUUGACAACAUUGCAGCCCCAUGGCCAACAUCAUCCUCCAUGUCAUCCUUGUCUCUUUGCGCUCCAGAGAUGUCCUUGCCUGCCUUGCCGACAUCAGAGACUUUAAAAAAUCCUGGCAACCGUGGUGGUGGGUUGGAGUUUGUGGUUCCCAUUUUUUCAUUUUUUAUUUUCAGUACAUUGUUGUACUGAAAAAAUUAAUUGAGGGAUGAACCAGUUUGGAAUAGGUGCUUCUGGAAAUAGACCUUGUCUGGGAAUUUUACAUGUAUAUUUUGGGUAGCUUCCAUGUAUAGCAGUUUCUUCUUUCCGUUUUUCCUCAUCUUUUUUUGAGCUAUUUUGUCCCUGCCUUUCUGUCUCUCCCCCCUUUUCUUCUCUCUAUAAUCUUGGCUGGUA